rnacentral:rRNA from 1 species
UACAGAGGGUGCAAGCGUUGUUCGGAAUUACUGGGCGUAAAGCGCGUGUAGGCGGUCUAGUAAGUCGGUCGUGAAAUCCCUAGGCUCAACCUAGGAACUGCGUUCGAAACUGUUAGGCUAGAGUAUCGGAGGGGAUGGCGGAAUUCCUGGUGUAGAGGUGAAAUUCGUAGAUAUCAGGAGGAACACCUGUGGCGAAGGCGGCCAUCUGGAAGAUUACUGACGCUGAGACGCGAAAGCGUGGGGAGCAAACAGG